GCCUAAGUGGCUCAGUCGGUUAAGCAUCUGACUUCAGCUCAGGUCAUGGUCUCACAGUUCUUGGGUUCAAGCCCCGUGUUGGGCU
rnacentral:tRNA from 1 species